GCUUUGGUGGUGUAGCUGUGAUCAUAGCAGCUUCCCAGGCAGCUGAUCUGGGUUCAAAUCCUGGCCAAUGCA
rnacentral:tRNA from 1 species